CCUACGGGAGGCAGCAGUAAGGAAUAUUGGUCAAUGGGCGCAAGCCUGAACCAGCCAUGCCGCGUGCAGGAAGACGGCCCUACGGGUUGUAAACUGCUUUUGUACCGGAAUAAACCCUUUUACGUGUAAGAGGCUGAAUGUACGGUAAGAAUAAGGAUCGGCUAACUCCGUGCCAGCAGCCGCGGUAAUACGGAGGAUCCAAGCGUUAUCCGGAUUUAUUGGGUUUAAAGGGUGCGUAGGUGGCUUUUUAAGUCAGGGGUGAAAGACGGUAGCUUAACUAUCGCAGUGCCUUUGAUACUGAAGAGCUUGAAUGAACUAGAGGUAGGCGGAAUGUGACAAGUAGCGGUGAAAUGCAUAGAUAUGUCACAGAACACCAAUUUGCGAAGGCAGCUUACUAUGGUUUUAAUUGACACUGAGGCACGAAAGCGUGGGGAUCAAACAGGAUUAGAUACCCUGGUAGUCCACGACCUAACGAUANAUACUACGAUAGUGUCGAUAUACGUACGUAGCGUCGUA
rnacentral:rRNA from 1 species